rnacentral:rRNA from 1 species
UUUCGCAAUGCCCGAAAGGGUGACGAAGCGACGCCGCGUGGGUGAGGAAGGCCCUCGGGUUGUAAAGCCCUGUCAGGAGUUAAGAAAUGUAGGUGUGCUAAUAUCACGCCUAUUUGACGAAGGCUCCAAAGGAAGUCACGGCUAACUCUGUGCCAGCAGCCGCGGUAAUACAGAGGUGGCAAGCGUUGUUCGGAAUUAUUGGGCGUAAAGAGCACGUAGGUGGGUUUGUAAGUCAGAUGUGAAAGCCUCCUGUUCAACGGGAGAAUUGCAUCUGAAACUACUGAUCUUGAGUGUAGGAGGGGAGAAUGGAACUUCUGGUGGAGCGGUGAAAUGCGUAGAUAUCAGAAGGAACGCCGGCGGCGAAAGCGAUUCUCUGGACCGAAACUGACGCUGAGUGUGCGAAAGCUAGGGGAGCAAACGGGAUUAGAUACCCCGGUAGUCCUAGCCGUAAACGAUGGGCACUAAGUAGAGGGGUUUUA